AGCUUUGCGUAGUGGUAAUAUUGUAGCCAUUGAGGUUUAUCCAAGGCGCGAUUAUUGCUAAUUGAAAACUUUUCCCAAUACCCCGCUGUGACAACUUGCAAUACAGUCGGCACUGGCAAUUUUUGAAAGUCUCUUCGGAGA
rnacentral:snRNA from 1 species